CCAGCCUGACGCUGGAAUGGGUAGAUGGUGGCGAGACGGGGAGCACCGGUUAACUCGCGCUCAGCUCCAAUGGAAAAUCAAGUUGAACGAUUGUGCCGUUUGGCAUGUUGGAGGCUACCGCAAUACGACCGUCGAGCUGAGCGACCAAACUCUUGAUGACCUUGAAGCCCAGGCUCGCCCGUGGCUGGUCGAUAUCGAAAUCUUGCGGAAGACCAAUUCCUUGAUCCGAUACCUCCACGUGCAGGUCGACUCCGCGCGGCUCG
rnacentral:misc_RNA from 1 species